CGAGGGUCUGACACCAAACAAACAUCCCACAUAAACCAAAACAUCAAUUUCAAACAGACAUAAGCUUAGUUUGAAAGAUGGUAAAUUUGACAUAAUAGUUCUUUGACAAAAAUGUGUCUAUCUAUUUCCAAUGACAAUCCGUCUUACAUAAAGCUUAACUCAGUACAAAGUUUCGUAUUUUUUUCAAGCUUCAUGUUUGAAGAGCAAAAACUAUGCAGACAUAAAAAUGUCCUAAAAGAGCGCAUAGCUUCAUGCACCCUUUUAGAACAAUCCUUCUAAUCUCCGCUGGCAAAAUUUCCUAAAAAAUAAGAUUCAAUGAAGUGCUUGAGCAGAAGUUCAUUACAAGUCAGAAGAGUCAAGAUAAAUUCAAUACAUAUAUGGUCUGUAAUUAUAAUAUACUGUUAACUCAGUGCUUUAUGGUAGAACAUGAGAUUUCCUAGUUAACGCUAAGUUCAUAUUUGUAGGUACAGAUAACAUGUAUGAUCCGGCACAUACAUGCUUAACCGUACAAACUAGACAGAAACACAAGAGGGCCAGCAAAAAUAGUAUUGUGCAUCAUGACAGAGUGAAAUAUACCAGCAAAACAACAUUUAUAUCUAGGAAACGGAAGCUCAAGGAAAAAAUGUAUCUUUAUUAAGAGGGGAAUCCCAUCUCAUAUAGCUUCAGAAAACAAGUAGAACAUAACAUCUUGCAGAGCUUUAGAAAGCAAGUAAAAGGCACGAGGCCAAGCACAGAGCUACUGCUACAUAUCUUAACAAUGAAUUAUUUUAGUCGUGGAUGAAAUUUUGCAUAAUAUCCUCAACCAAGUAACUGUCAGGACUGUAAGGAUGAAGUACUCAAAGUUAUCUAAUCCACAGUGGCAGCAUCAAUGGAAAAUAUAAACGAGAAACUUCUAAAGCAAUAAAGAAAAGCAAAGGUUGGGUUUAUAUGUUUAAUGGCUGACCUCAUUCCUCCAAAUACCCGUCUGG
rnacentral:lncRNA from 1 species